CCUACGGGAGGCUGCAGUGGGGAAUAUUGCACAAUGGGGGAAACCCUGAUGCAGCGACGCCGCGUGAGUGAGGAAGUAUUUCGGUACGUAAAGCUCUAUCGGCAGGGAAGAAAAUGUCGUUACCUGACUAAGAAGCCCCGGCUAACUACGUGCCAGCAGCCGCGGUAAUACGUAGGGGGCAAGCGUUAUCCGGUUUGACGGGGUGUAAAGGGGGCGUAGACGGCUAAGCAAGUCAGAGGUGAAAACCCAGGGCUCAACCUUGGGAGUGCUUUUGAAACUGAGUAGCUAGAGUGCAGGAGAGGUAAGCGGAAUUCCUAGUGUAGCGGUGAAAUGCGUAGAUAUUAGGAGGAACACCAGUGGCGAAGGCGGCUUACUGGACUGUAACUGACGUUGAGGCUCGAAAGCGUGGGGAGCAAACAGGAUUAGAUACCCGAGUAGUC
rnacentral:rRNA from 1 species